rnacentral:piRNA from 1 species
UGAACCUGAUGUCUAUAUUAACCACGACCC